UAUGGAGCAAGCGUUAUCCGGAUUUACUGGGUGUAAAGGGAGCGCAGGUGGCAGGGCAAGUCUGAUGUGAAACUCCGGGGCCCAACCCCGGACUUGCAUUGGAAACUGUCAGGCUGGAGUGCGGGAGAGGCAGGCGGAAUUCCUAGUGUAGCGGUGAAAUGCGUAGAUAUUAGGAGGAACACCAGUGGCGAAGGCGGCCUGCUGGACCGUAACUGACGCUGAGGCUCGAAAGCGUGGGGAGCGAA
rnacentral:rRNA from 1 species